GGUCUUGUGGUCUAGUGGUAUGAUUGUAAGAAAUAACGUAUAUACUCCCCUCAACACUUCACUAACAAUGCACCAGCUCGCUUAGGGUUUACCCGAGCAUUGCUUGCGAGAGGCCCCGCGUUCGAGUCGCGGCAAGACCC